CCUCUGCAAUUUCUCGCUUUGUCAGCAACGUCCACCAACACCCUCUAUACAAAUAUGAAUUAGACGGUAAUCAUGACAAUAUUGCCGUAGUUAUACUGCAAAAGGAAGUCCUCCCCACAUCUGCCACACCGGCUAAGUUAGGAUACACUUUGUAACCGAAGAUAGGUUGUGCCCAACCAACUGCUAGCAGUCGGCUGGGGUUAUGCAGGAGGAAUCGUUUCGCCAAACCUUUUUCAUAGUUACAUGAACUUAAUUCAAGAUUCUGAUUGCCAAAAGGUUUUCGGUUCCGUCGACGAUGUCAAUACUACCUGUCUCGCCUACCCAGACGCUGGCGCCUGUAGUACCUAUGACUUGUGGAGUCCGAUCCUAUCUAAUGACCAAAAGCAAGUAAUUGGCGUCAUCGGCAAAAACAUGUGCUGCGGGGGAGGUGGACCGAAUGUCGCCGUUGACAUCCGCCGAUACCGUAAUUGGUUCCCGAUGCCUUAUCAGUAGAAUGAAAUGGCUUGUGCAUUUGCUUACUAUCUGAUGCGGUGCGUAUAACGAUAAAGUAAGAGACUUUGUUUUCAUUCCAUGCAUGCCGAUUGAAUUCGUCCGUCGUUAAUUUCAAUUAUUCUAUGCAUGAAGUAGACCUUUCAAUAGAUAAAAUACAGCAACCCAAUCAAAACACCAA